AGGAAACAGACGCUAAUUGAUCUCUCUCUUUUGGGCCCUUUCGUCUUUUUUUUUCCUUUUCUCUCUUCCUCUCAGUUGAUUGGUCAGCCACUGGAAGGAAGGAAGGAGGAAGAGAAGAGAAGAAAAGAAAC
rnacentral:ribozyme from 11 species